AAAAUUGCUUAAAUCGUCUGGUUUAAUUUAAUUCAGUUCUUUAAACUGGUUCAGCCACACUCAAUCUCACUCUAGCAAGCUCGAGUAUUUGUCGAUGAAAACCAUCUAGAGAUUUUUUUUCUCUUUAUAAUGAACUCACACCACAAAUGAUGCCUUCAUUUCUUCCGGUUUAACGAUCCGAUACAGGCGGCGCUUCUCUUCUGUUCUCUACUUUUUGCAGAGUCACUUUGCAUCGUCUAAGGCUUCCUUUGGUUCACCGUUUAAAGCCAGUGAGGUGCAGUUAGACUCCCAACCUCACUGGGAAGCUGUUUGGUUGAGUGUUUCAGUGCAACCAAAAUCAAUUCUCACCACACUGCUAUCCCAAAAAUCAACUGAAGCUUUCAGCAGCAAUUUGGCGGCCAAAUUCUGCUAUCUAUGUUGGAGUUUCAACACACUUUAACCAGGUAAAGUAAGAAUUUCAAACAGAGCACCAAAGAAGAAC